GACGAAUCGUGCGAACGUUAUUCGGAAUCACUGGCUUAAAGGGCGCGUAGGCGGGCGGCCGAGUCCGGGUGAAGCCCCAGCUCACUGGGAAGUGCCUCGGAUACCGGCCGUCUCGAGGGAGAGUAGGGCGUGCGGGACUUCCGGUGGAGCGGUGAAUGCGUAGAUAUCGGAAGGAACACCGGUGGCGAAGCGGCGCGCUGGGUCUCUUCUGGACGGCUGAGGCGCGAAGCCAGGGAGCAAACGGG
rnacentral:rRNA from 1 species